rnacentral:rRNA from 1 species
UACGGAGGGUGCAAACGUUGCUCGGAAUCAUUGGGCGUAAAGCGCACGUAGGCGGUCGGCUAUGUCGGAUGUGAAAGCCUCGGGCUUAACCCGAGAAGGGCAUCCGAAACUGGCCGGCUUGAGUACGGAAGAGGGUCUCGGAAUUCCCGGUGUAGAGGUGAAAUUCGUAGAUAUCGGGAGGAACACCAGUGGCGAAGGGCG